AAAUAGUAUGGUAGAAAUAUCCCCACCCUAAUGCUUGAUGGAUUUUUCCUAUUUCAUAUAUUAUUUAAAAUACGUGCAAGGAUGACAUUGGGCAGAUGAAUCUAUUUUGCAUACUGUUCCAAUUUAUUUUUUGUAGAUUUUAAACCAAAACAAACAAAUUUAUUUCCUUUUUGGGCCCUUAUUGGACAAUCUUGACAGCUUUUCAUCUAUUGUGGAAAAUGAUGUUAUUCCUAAUUCGGCAUUCUAAAAUCUAAAAUUGAUGGAGCAUUUUUGGCAGCCCUUAAAUUCCCUUUCCUUAAAUAUCAUACAAAAUCAAAGUAAAUGAUCUCCUUCUCAAUUUGAAAGUUGCGGGAUAAUGUAACCAAAACAACUUUUGGAUAUUUUUCCAUUUACAAUUAGGAAGAAAUUAAUAUUUGCAAAAAUAAUGGGUUUCUUAAUUAUGUAUAUAUAUGCUCAAAGCUUGACAUGUUCUUCACUUCACAUACUAUCAAAUAAUCCCAGCAAAAAAAUUACUUUCAAUUUGCUUCAAGAAAGAUGAUGCUGACGAAGAAUAUCAUUUCUAUCAAAAUGAUUUUGAUUGUCACCCUCAUGGUCACCGCAUAUUGUUAGUUGUUAUAUCCCUCUCUCAAGCUUGCGCAGGCACGCGCGCGCACACAAUUUAUUUUUCUAUCUAUACAUCUAUAUUGCCGUAUAUCUAUCAAGUAAUUAACAAAUGGUAUUGAUGCUAACUAACAGGGCAUUUAAUGGAAGUUGAAGCCAGGAACGUGGUCUUGAAGACUCAAUCUUCCACCGGUGUUGGCAGCAGUGGCACAAUCGGAGAAACAUUUUAUCAGCAGGAACCGAAACGUUGUAGCAAUGACAAUGAUUGCCUUUACCUCCACUGCAUUGAUAAACAAACAAAAUGCUAUCAGGGUCAUUGUGCUUGCACUGAUUAAAUAAGAGUAAAUGCCAAAUUAUCAAUAAACGGGGAAUUAAAAUUUCUCAACAAUAUUUUGAUUUUGUCUUAAUCUAUAAAUCAUCUUUUUGUUUGUUUGUUAUUAUUAUUAUUAUUAUUAUUA
rnacentral:lncRNA from 1 species